rnacentral:rRNA from 1 species
AUACGGAGGGUGCAAGCGUUACUCGGAAUCACUGGGCGUAAAGCGCGCGCAGGCGGCCAUUUAAGUUGGAUGUGAAAGCCUACGGCUCAACCGUAGAACUGCAUCCAAAACUAUUUGGCUAGAGUGUGGGAGAGGAAGAUGGAAUUAGUUGUGUAGGGGUAAAAUCCGUAGAGAUAACUAGGAAUACCAAAAGCGAAGGCGAUCUUCUGGAACAGUACUGACGCUGAGGCGCGAAAGCGUGGGGAGCAAACAGGAUUAGAUACCCUAGUAGUCC